rnacentral:rRNA from 1 species
CAUGGCUCAGGAUGAACGCUGACAGAAUGCUUAACACAUGCAAGUUAAUGGGGAAGAUAUAGCUUGCUAUAUUGGGAACCAUAGCGGACGGGUGAGUAACGCGUAAAGGACUUACCCUCAGGACUGGGAUAACAGAGGGAAACUUCUGAUAAGACCGGAUAUAAUAUAUGUAUUGCAUGAUAUAUAUAUGAAAGGGAACGCCUGAGGAGAGCUUUGCGUCCUAUUAGUUAGUUGGUGGGGUAACGGCCUACCAAGGCGAUGAUAGGUAGCCGGCCUGAGAGGGUGGACGGCCACAAGGGGACUGAGAUACGGCCCUUACUCUUACGG